rnacentral:rRNA from 1 species
UACAGAGGGGGCAAGCGUUGUUCGGAAUUACUGGGCGUAAAGGGCGCGUAGGCGGCCCGCUAAGUCGAACGUGAAAUCCCCGAGCUCAACUCGGGAACUGCGUCCGAUACUGGCGGGCUUGAAUCCGGGAGAGGGAUGCGGAAUUCCAGGUGUAGCGGUGAAAUGCGUAGAUAUCUGGAGGAACACCGGUGGCGAAGGCGGCAUCCUGGACCGGCAUUGACGCUGAGGCGCGACAGCGUGGGGAGCAAACAGG